GGUGGGUUGUCCGAGCGGUUAGGUAACGGCCUGCAAAGCCGUGCACACGGGUUCGAAUCCCGUACCCACCUCCA
rnacentral:tRNA from 1 species